CGGACCGGCGCACGGGUGAGUAACGCGUAUGCAACUUGCCUAUCAGGAGGGGGAGUAACCCGGCGAAAGUCGGACUAAUACCGCAUGAAGCAGGGGCCCCGCAUGGGGAUAUUUGCUAAAGAUUCAUCGCUGAUAGAUAGGCAUGCGUUCCAUUAGGCAGUUGGCGGGGUAACGGCCCACCAAACCGACGAUGGAUAGGGGUUCUGAGAGGAAGGUCCCCCACAUUGGUACUGAGACACGGACCAAACUCCUACGGAAGGCAGCAG
rnacentral:rRNA from 1 species